AGUGCUUCUAGGCCCUGGUCAUAAAGCAGUAAACAAGACAAACAGGACUUUCUGAUCUCGUGAAGAAAACUAAACAGGGCAGACAGAGUGCCAGCCUGCCAUGCAAGCACCGUGAUCAGGGAAGGGCUCGCCAGAAGGCCCAUGAGCGAGACCUGUAGAAGUGAGAGAGCCACCCACAAAGAUGUUGGAGAAAGGAUGUUGCAGACAGAGGCCCAGAGGAAGGAGCAUAACCUAACACGUUUGAAGAGCAGGAAGCAGUCAAGAGAGGGAUCCCUACGUAAUGAAUAGAAGACUAAGAAGAACCAGUGGAAGAGGGAGAACAGUUAAGAGACUAUUGCCAUAAUCCAAGUGCAAGGUGGAGGUGACUUGGACCAGGAGUAGCAAGAUGAGUGGUGAAGAGGGGUCAGGUUAUGGAUCUAUUUGGAAGGUAGAAUCACAGACGUUCUGACAGAUUAAAUUAAGCAUAGUGGAGAAAGAAGGGAGUGUAAGGAUUAUCUCCUAGGUACGUGGGUAUACCCAUUUGGAGUUCAAGGGUAAGGUCUGGACUAAACCUUUGAAUCUGGGAGUCGUCAGUGUAUGGAUGGUGCUUAAAGCUAUGAGACUGUUUGAAAUCCCUAAGGGAGUACAUGCGGGUAGAGAAGAUGUCAGAGGACUAGCCCCUAAGCUGUUGCAGCGUGUAAAGCACAGGGUGAACAGCAGGAACCGCAAAGCAGAGGGAGAAAUGAGGCCAACGAUGAAGGAAGGAAACCAAGAAGUCUGGGGUGUCAUGGAGCCAAGUGAGAAAGUGUUUGAGGGUCAGGCAACAACCAGCUGUGCAAAUGCUAUUCAUGGCUAAGUGAGAAGAGGGUUAAGAAUUGAUCAUGGGCUAUAACAACAUGGAAGAUAUUCACAUUUUGAAAUGAGCAAUUUCUGUGAAAGGACAGAGGAAACUGUCAGACCUAGUGGAUCUGAGAGGAAAAAUGAAGACAGAAAUUGGAGAUGGUAAAUAUGAAAACCCUUCCAAAGAAUUCCACUCUGAAGAAAGCAGAAAUAGUGCAGUAGUUUGAAAGGAACAUAAGAUCAGGACAGGUAGUGCCAGAUGGGAAAAUUCAACUGUGCAUGUUGAUAGGAACACUCCAGUAGAGACAGAAAAGUCGACAUUGUGGGAGGUAGAAGGAGAAUUGCUGGAAUUCGAGAGAGACAUUGGGAUUUAGUGCUCCAGUUUAACUUAUGGGUAACAAAAAGGAAGACAGUGUUUGGACAUAGAUCCAGGUGGGGGGUGAUGAGGAAGUAGCAGUUUGCAGAAGCUCUCAUCUUAUUCUGGUUUUGGCUUAAAUUUGUUUUUCUUUCAGUGACAUAUACCCCAAAGUCAUUAACUGAGAGUGAGGAUGGGAGAGAAAACAUUAGAGGCUUAAGAGGAGAGAGAAUCUGAAGGAGCCUCCCAGAAACAUGAAUGAGCGAGGGAAGGCAUUAGAAUGGCAGGUGUGCUAGGAGCCUACUAGCGGUUAGCGACAGGGCCAGCUGCAUUGGUGGCUUAAUGUGUGUGACUGUGGAGUCACACAUAAUUUUUGCAAUUUGUAAGUUUAUGUUAUUUCUCGUGUGUCACUGUUGCCUGCUUUAUGGUUUAUAAGUCACAAAUUAUUUUGAAAAUGAAAACACCUUAGAUUUUAGUGCAUUUAAUGAGGCUUUUUAAAAAUGUCUUUUGAACGAACAGCCCCACACUUUCAUUUUGCCCUGGGCCCUGCAAAUCAGGCAGCCAGCCCCGGUUAGUGAUCACGAAUGUAAGGGAAGAGCAAUCAGCGUCACUGUGGGCUUCUCCAGCCACACUCAGCUCUGUGGAGAGCUGGAUUUACAAGGGAUAGAGUUGUGCCAGGUGGUUACCACGAGGAGAGAAAGGGACAGGUUUGUUGAGAAUAUAUAAAAAUGAUGAUUCUGAAAAUCAACUGGGAGUAAAUAGACCCCAUCUGGCUCCAACUCAAUAAAACGUAUACACUAUACAUCAGUGUAUAUUGUAAGUGUCACAUCAUACCUCAGGGAAGGUGCAUUCCCCAGGGAUCCUCGCACAGGAUCCAGCAGUGGCUGAGCUAUCUCUCUAGUUCUUUGAUAGAAGCACCUGAAAUUUUACCUGCUGUUGCUGGUUACACGCAAACCUCCUGUUAGUGAACAGUUAAUUACUCCCAGAGGAUGCAAUACCUGAGUAGCUCCCAAAGUUUCCUGUGGGAAAGUUAUCUUGGAGGAGCCAGUGUAUUGAACUUCUUCAGCUAACAAAUUUCUUCACCAUGUGCAUGACUAUCUCGUUACAAGUUCCCACAGGCAUUCAACACAUUUGCUUUCUUUAUUAUUUUGUUAACAUCAGACCAUUUCCUAACUCAUUACAGCUUAUCCUAUUACACAUUACCAUAUGUCAUGAUUACUUUUAUGUGUCAACUUGACUGGGCUACAGGGUGCCCAGAUAUUAAGCCAAACAUUAUUCUUGGUAUGUCUGUGAGGGCUGUGAGAGUUUCAGGAGGAGACUAACAUUUAAAUUGAUAGAGUAAAGCCAGUUGUCCUCCUAAUGUAGGUGAAUCUUAUCCAACCAACUGAAGGCCUGAAUAAAACAAAAAGUCUGGCCCUCUUGUGGAACAAGGGAACUCCUUCUGCCCGGCUGCUUGAGCUGGAACAUCACCAGUCUUUUCCUGGCUUCUGACUCAAAUGGAAACAUUAGAUCUUCUGGGUCUUGAGCGCACUGGCUUUUGAACUGUAAAUCACACCAUCAGCCCUCCAGGUUCUCAGGCCUUCAGACAGGCUGGAACUAUACCAUCAGCUCUGCAAGGUCUCCAGACUUCAGCUUGCCAACUAGAGAUCACAGGACUUCUCAGCCUCUAUAACUGUGGCAGCCAAUUCCCUACAAAUAAUCUCUCUCUACACACACACACACACACACACACACACACACACUUCUGUUUCUUUGGAGGAUCCUGAUUAAUAUACUGUUAUUCCUUAGUUUGCAGUUAUUACUCUCAUGUUUACAGUAACCACAAUGUUCCUGUAUUCCUCAGCCAUCAUACAACUGCAGGCUGCACUCCAAAUUCUCACAAGCUUAACUGGAUAUAACUUCACAAUAAAACCCAGGUAUAAGAAUAAAAGGUGUCUUGCCCAAAUCCCUCUGCAGAAACAGUUCAAACAUCUGCUAUGCUGAUAGUUGCUCAACAAAAGUAAUUAUCAUACUUUCAUAUUCAACAAACAUAAAAAAAAUUCUGUGAGAAUUUUUACAAUUAUUAACUUUAAUUCUUAAAAUAUUCUAGUGAAUAAACCAUUAUUAUGCCCAUUAAAACAUGAAGAAUAAAGAGGAUAAAUAACUUGCUUGAGUUCAUACAUUUAGUAUAGAGAAGAGAACAUAGGAUUUGUAAUUAAAUUCUUGCUUUUCUACUGUUACAAGUUACCUAAACUCUCUAAGAUUGAAUCUUUCAUCCAUGAAGUGGGAAUAAUACUGGCUACUGCAGGUAGUCAUGGUGAGAAUUCAUGCUAUUCUAUAUGUUCAAAGCCCAACACAGUGUCUGUUUUUUAGAAACUUAACACCUUUUCUUUGUUUCUAUUUUCCUUUGUCUCUCUCUCCUAAGAUCUUUUUGUCUGCCUUGUGAAAGACACUGAAUUACAUGGAUGUCUCUGAAAUAAGAAUUAAUAUAUUUUUUCAAACUCUGAUUUUUUCAAAGCUGAUAAUUUAUUCCAGGUCUCCUGUUUUGCAGGCUUGGUAUUUGUUUUCUAAAUCCAAAUUUGAACAUCCUUAGAAGCAUAUUCUUUCUAGUUUUCCACAGAACCCACUCUUCCCCGCUAUCCACAUUUAGUCCGAUUCAUACAUUCACGUUACCUUCCUGUCCCUACAAGGUUUGGAAUUUCAGCCCCUGCAGUGCAUCCUAUGAUUCCAUCACUUCAAUGACUUCAGAACUUUUUGGUUUGGGCACAAUGAUCUAAUUUUAUUUUAAAACUUUGGAGAAUGACACAAACAAGAGUUAUUAUUUUUAACAGUUCAGGAAUUCAUAUGUUCUCAUGGUCAAAUCAAACUUGUUUUCUUUGCUUCACCAACAAACAUUGUCACAUCGGCUACACCCAAAAGCCAGAGCUCAGCAGUCAUUCACAACCGUCAAUAUACUUAUCAACUCUAAAACAAUCAGGAGGCGGAUUUUAAAUUUACAACGAGGUACCUCAUUUUCAAAGUAUUAUAAAAUCUGUUCUGUAAGUCAUGUGUGGUGUCUUUUUUUUCUCUUUCUUUUCUCUGGAGUGCCUUCAAAAUAAACAUUGUAAUUUGAGAUGUGGACCACAUAAAAUGGACCAAAUGAUAAGAUAAUGGGCAAAAGCAUUUCCAAAGUGAGACCAGCUGUCGACCUUGUCUUCAGAAGGGAGGUUCUGGCAAACUUCCAUUGGCCCCCAGCCUAGUUUUGUUUCAAACUGAUUAGCAAACUUUCUAGUCAAUCAAUCCUGUCCCAAAUUAAGUUGCUGGUAAGAAAAAAGGAGCAGCCUGAUUUGCAUUACAAAGCUCUCAGGCAUCUAAGAGUUGAGAUGUGACUAUCCUGAGGCUCCUUCAUGCUGAGUAAAAGCAAAGGCUUCUCUUCUCUCCAAGUCAAGAGGAAGAGACAAGUAAGCCCAGAGCACUUUAACCUACUGAGGAAUAGGUUAAAACUGAGCAUUCAGAUGUUUCUGUAUUUGUGGGCAGAUGUAAGUGAAUAGUUUUUACAUAAGCUGCAUUUCUAUUUUCACAAAUACCUUCACUAGUAAAUUUUCACCUAGUUCGAAUAGAUUUCUGGUGUUCUGAGCACAACAGUCUUUACCUAUUACCCUUCUAAAAGCUAAGGUGACACCAAUUAAAUUAAGGGUGACUGAUAAUUCUCUUUUAUUACUACAUCUGUAUUCCUAUUUAUAUACUUUUCAUUAAUGCUCUUGGAGUCAAUUAAACAUAUUAGUUUAAGCUUUUAUAUUUUAUAAUGUUUCAAGAAUUAUGAUGUGAGUUAGAACAUAUUCCAAUCCACAGGACAACAAUACUGAAAUAAAAUUCCCUCUUUCUCCAGUUUUCCGGAGAUUUUAUGAAAAUUGAAUUUUAUUUCAAGUUACUGCCUGAAAGUGUAUUAUUACCAGAGUAACAGACAAAACUGUAGCCUUAGAGCAUAUAGGAAAAUUUGUGUUAAACAUGAGGUGACAAUGUGCUGGAGCCCUAGCGGCCCUCGCUGGCUCUUGGUGCCUCCUCGGCCUCGGCGCCCACUCGGGCUGCAUUUGAGGAGCCCUUCAGCCCACCACUGCACUGUAGGGGCCCCUCUCUGGGCUGGCCGAGGCCACAGCCAGCUCCCUCUGCUGUGGACAGGUGUGGAGGGAGAGGCGUCAGCGGGAACAGGGGCUGCUGCGCACGGGCGGGAACCGGGUCUGCUGUGGGCGUGGGCUUGGCAGGCCCCCGCACUCCCGCACUCGGAGCGACUGGCCAGCACCGCUGGCCCCAGAGAGUAAGGGGCUUGGCACCUGGGCCAGCAGCUGCAGAGGGUGCACCGAGUCCUCCAGCAGUGCUGGCCCACCGGCGCUGCACUCCAAUUCUCGCCAGGCCUCAGCUGCCUCCCUGUGGGGCAGGGCUUGGCACUUGCAGCCUGCCAUGCCUGAGCUUCCCCCCUGCCAUGGGCUCCUGCAAGGCCUGAGCCUCCCCGAGGAGCACUGCACCCUGCUCCACAGCGCCCAGUCCCAUCAACCAUCCAACGGCUGAGGAGUGCAGGCGCAUGGCGCAGGACUGGCAGGCAGCUCCACCUGCGGCCAGGUGCGGGAUCCACUAGGUGAAGCCAGCUGGGCUCAACCUGGAACACUGUUUCUUCUAUUUAUCUCAAUAACUCCAACCCCUUCUUUAUACCCUAUUUCAAGCACUGCUCCCCAGGAAAGCUCUCCCUGCCCUCUGCCCAGCCCGGGGCCUGUGAUUAUGGGUCUUCGCAGCACCAAGGGCCUCCCCCUCACUGUACACAUGGGUUGCAUGUUUCUAUUUGUGCAUGCAAAUAUUUGAUUCAGGUCUACAUCCUCCAGCCCCCUUACAGAAUAUACUGCUAAGGGCAGGUAUGGGGUCUGGUUUUGCCCACCCCUGCGUCUCCAUAACAUAGCACAGUGCCUGACACGGAGAAAGGAGAAGGUGCUCCAUGAACAUUUCCUGACCCAAUCCCUGACCAAAUUCUCUAGAAGGGUUGCUGUGCUCUCAUUGCACAGACAUGCUGCAGGAGCACUCUGCUGUUCUCCAGAAUUCUGGCUCUCCAUCUCAAAAUGAUUCUGUGAGUGGCUGCAUAAUGCAUCCUGACCAAAGAGUCAGGAGCCCUGCAAUCCUUCAACACUUCUGCAAUUAAUGAGCUUUCAGACACAGGGCAAACCAUUUAACGUCUCUAUGUCUUCUUAUAUGUAAAAUUGGAUUUUUAAUAUCAGCUUUAUUUACCUUACCUAGUUAUUCUUCUAUAACAAGAACAUUAAGAGCCUGGCUUGUAUUCGUUUGAGUGAGAGAUUGUUGGUGUGAAAAGCAUUGGUUAUAUGCAGUUUCUUACUUCUACACACAGUGGAUUCCUACACAUGUGUUUCAAAGUUGAAUAACAAAGAAUAAUGAGGGAGACAUUUCCAGAGAACUAAAAAUACAUUCUAAAAUUCCUAAUAGUGGUUAAUUAUGUGCUGCCUCCCUCAGAUUCAGACCCAUGAGGCAGGUGAGGCCUUCAAAUGCACACAGCACAGGGGGCCACCAGCCAUCCUGGGGAUGGGAAAGGUGACCUGAGCACCUCCUUUUCCCGGCCUGACCACUCCUCUGCCCACUGCUGCAGCGGCCACAGCAUUUCCACGUCUUUAGGAAGAUUUGGGUGGCUGGAAACAGACAUCCAGAUAUCGGGAAAAGCAGUUCUAUCUUCUUGCCAUCUGUGGUAAAUUGCAAAUGUGACCCCAAAUGUUUACUGUUUCCUUUUUCUCCAGCCUUUGCCAUGUA
rnacentral:lncRNA from 10 species